rnacentral:rRNA from 1 species
AACGAACGCUGGCGGCAGGCUUAACACAUGCAAGUCGAACGCAUCCUUCGGGGUGAGUGGCAGACGGGUGAGUAACGCGUGGGAACGUGCCCUUCAGUUCGGGAUAACCCAGGGAAACUUGGGCUAAUACCGGAUACGUGCGAGAGCAGAAAGAUUUAUCGCUGAAGGAUCGGCCCGCGUCUGAUUAGCUAGUUGGUGGGGUAAUGGCCCACCAAGGCGACGAUCAGUAGCUGGUCUGAGAGGAUGAUCAGCCACAUUGGGACUGAGACACGGCCCAAACUCCUACGGGAGGCAGCAGUGGGGAAUAUUGGACAAUGGGCGCAAGCCUGAUCCAGCCAUGCCGCGUGAGUGAUGAAGGCCUUAGGGUUGUAAAGCUCUUUCGUCCGGGACGAUAAUGACGGUACCGGAAGAAGAAGCCACGGCUAACUACGUGCCAGCAGCCGCGGUAA